UUGGAAGUGCUCGCAAGAGAACUGGAACACAGGUGCUGCAUGGCUGUCGUCAGCUCGUGUCGUGAGAUGUUGGGUUAAGUCCCGCAACGAGCGCAACCCUUGUCAUUAGUUGCUACGAAAGGGCACUCUAAUGAGACUGCCGGUGACAAACCGGAGGAAGGUGGGGAUGACGUCAAGUCCUCAUGGCCCUUAUGGGUAGGGCUUCACACGUCAUACAAUGGUCGGGACAGAGGGUCGCCAACCCGCGAGGGGGAGCCAAUCCCAGAAACCCGAUCGUAGUCCGGAUCGCAGUCUGCAACUCGACUGCGUGAAGUCGGAAUCGCUAGUAAUCGCGGAUCAGCAUGUCGCGGUGAAUACGUUCCCGGGUCUUGUACACACCGCCCGUCACACCAUGGGAGUGGGUUUUACCAGAAGUAGUUAGCCUAACCGUAAGGGGGGCGAUUACCACGGUAGGAUUCAUGACUGGGGUGAAGUCGUAACAAAGUAACCGUAAGCAUCUUA
rnacentral:rRNA from 1 species